AUAAAAAUAAAUAAAACUUAUUACAAUAAAAAUAAAUAAAAUAAAUAAAAAUUAAUGAAGUAAUGAAAAUUAACACUACAAUAAAAAUUGUUUAAAUCAACACAAAUUGACAAUACAAUAAAAAUGACAAAAAUAAUGAAAAUUAUCAAUACAACAAAAAUGAAUAAAGUCAAUAAAAAUUUACAAUACAAUAAAAAUCAUUAAAAUAAAUAGAAAUUGACAAUACAAUAAUGAAAAUUAACAGUACAAUAAAAAUGAAUAAAAUCAAUAAAAAUUAAUGAAAUAAUGAAAAUUAACAAUACAAUAAAAAUGAUUAAAAUAAAUAAAAAACAGUACAAUAAAAAUGAAUAAAAUCAAUAAAAAUUAAUGAAAUAAUGAAAAUUAACAAUACAAUAAAAAUGAUUAAAAUAAAUAAAAAACAAUACAAUAAAAAUUAUUAAAAUCAAUAAAAAUUGACAUUACAAUAAAAAUUAAAUAAAUAAGUAAAAAUUAAGAAUACAAUAGAAAUUAAUAAAAGAGUGUUGGAAUUUACGUGACACGAACCGUCUCGAACUUGUAGAUGGAGGAAAUUAUAUCUCAAACCAUGGCGUACUUGCUGAUUCGCACAGUAUAAAGUAUUAAGUAAAAAUGCGAAAAUUUUCAUCCAUCAAAGGCUUUCAACCCCUACAAUUAAAAGGAACCAAAUAAAUAAAAAUUAGCAAUACAAUAAAAAGAAAUAAAAUAUAAAUUAACAGUACAAUAAAAUGAAUAAAAUAAACAGAAAUUAACAAUAUAAUAAAAAUUAAUAAAAUAAAUUAAAAUUUAUUAUACAAUAAAAAUUAACUCAAUAAUGCUUUUCCUCAACAACAUCUCCAUGACUUAAACACAUUGUGGCCAGAACGUUCCACCUUUGUUAAUAUAUCAUAUUAGAUGAACAUUUUAUAAAAAUCACCAGAGGCCUCACUCACAAUUGGAAAACACUCUUUAAAUGUUGUUUUGAGAACGUUCCUACUUUGUAAUCAUUGAACAUAAUCUGUGUUCCUGACUACAUCUUUUGAAUGUUGACGCUAAAAGAAUCAUAUUAACUUUACAGGAACAUUUCUGGAAAUGAAAAUAUUUGUAAAACGUAGUUUAAACAUUAGACUAAAACAUGAUUAGAACCUGCAGCUAAUGUUAGCCAGAGUGGUGGGAACGUUCUCCUGUGGAGCUUCAGAACCUCACCCUCCACUAUGUUUCAUGUUUCAGAAUGGGAAGCGCCUUUAUAGAAGUGGCAGGAAGUGGAUUCAGGCUGAUCCUGGUUCUGGAGAGACCGGUUCCCUCCGGAGGGCAACGGUGGUUUGCUGGAGGAGGCGGAGGCCAAGCCUCCAUCCAGCCGUCCGUGGAAAGGGGAUCUCUCUUUGAAUUGCCUUUCCCGAGGUUUCUUCCCAUCUUCCAUGGGGAGUUUUUUCUCGUCUUCAUAGAGAGCUUGGGCUGGAUAAAGACCUCCUCAGAAAUAAAACUUCAUUAUAAUAAAUAACACAUCAUGAUAGAUUAUUUCCGGAUUACAUUUAGAGUUACAUCCUGGUUAAUAAGUUGUUUACACAAAACCAAGUUGAGCUGCACAUUUUAGAGGACAUUGUACGUUUAUUAUAUAACGUAUUAAAGAGCUACUUUACAGAUUAAGAUUAAUAAUUCAAAAUAUAAGUUCUGGUGUAUUAUUAGAUGCAUUUUUUUCCCCUAGUGGAAAUUCACAAGAUGUAAAAUAAAUAUAAAUUAAAGCCAGCCUCGGUUUUAGCAGCUGCAAAAUUAAAGUUAUCUACAUGCUAAUGCAUUUAAAAGGUGUAACCCCGUUAUAUAAAAUACACUUUUACAAGUUAAUUAAAUUAGUUAAAUGCAUGGUUGCAAGAUUACAAGCCCAAGGUACUGAUUUAGCUAAACCUUUUAAGUUGCAAACAUUUAUCUAUGUUUAUAUUGUUUUGACAUAAUAAUGUUUCACCAACUUAAUAUUGUGAAUAAUUUAAAAUUGGAUUUUUUGCUGGAGUUGAUUUAAAACUAAAUUCAAAUUGAAGUAACUUCAAUCUUCAGUCUGUUCAGACUUCCGUGGAGAGUGACUCCAACGAGUUUAGCCUAUUUUUGUCAGGCUUUGCCGUCUGGCAGAGUCGUAUCUAUUUGUUGAAAGCAGAGGAUCUGUGCUUGACGGGGGUUUGGGUGGUGCUCGGUGGAGCUUGUGGGCGGAGUCAGUGAGGACUGCGCCAGGGGGUUGGGCCCGGGCAGCAAAAGGUCAGGGCUCAUCGCUUCUCGGCCUUUUGGCUAAGAUCAAAUGUAGGAUCUGUUCUUAUCAGUUUAAUAUCUGAUACGUCCUCCAAUGUGAGGACUAUAUAUUAAAUGGAUUUUUAGCACUGGGAGCUGAAAGAGGGGUUUGCUCCUUUCACUCCACACAUCGACCUGGUACUGCAGUGCUGCCAGGAAUGGUGCAUCCUUCUCUGGCCUUGUAGAAUGGAAAUAAAACAAGCUAAUAACAACGCUCUGGCAGAUUGGGCAGUGACCACCAAAGCUGUCAAACAAAGCCAGCAGCACCAGCUGCUUCUGUGGCGUCGUCAUGCUUACGCAACUCAGUUUGAAGAGAGAGUGGUUUUCUUCUUGGCUGCAGACGGCAAAGGUCUUCAGUCACACUAUCCAAGUCAGAUCUUUCCGCACGGGUUUCAGCGAGUUGGAGAAAGAACAGAAGGGUCGAACGGUGAGCUUUCAGUCACACUAUGGUCUCACAAUGGGUGGAAGUGCAAAAGUAGCUGCUUGGUGGCUCGUGGCCGUUCCACCAUCAGCACUGAGAACACACACAGCCACACAAUUCUGGAAACACAAUGGUGAGACCGGUGAAAGUGAAAAAUGGCUCCUCAAAUGCAGCACAGUACAGGACAAGGCAGCCUGGUGUCACGUUGCGCACAACAAAGCAAGCAUCAUUCUUGCAAAUUCCUUGUCCGUACCCUAGCAGUGGUUGUUCCUUGAGGACAGCGUUGCUCACGGCAGUUAUCCUGUGUGAAAGCUACAUUUGAAACGUUCUUUCUUGACUCAGUUGAGUUCAGUGAAGUGGCCAGAAAAUGUGGCUAGACGUCCUGCGGACCUGUGGGUGGCCCGCUGUUGAGUAUCACUGGGCUCCCACAGUGUCAGGCUGAUUGGAUGAAGCUUCAGUGUGUUGUAUUGUAUGUCUUUAAGGAUGUUUUUAUUUGAGUCAUUUUGUGGUUUAUUUUAUUUUCCAUCUAUUUAUGUUGUUUAUUGUUUUAUUUAGUUAAUUUUGUUUCACUUAUUGGCUAUUUCUGUCUCAUUUAACAUCUCUGUAUUUCAUUUUGGCCUAUUCAUGUUUCAUUCUGCUAAUUUACCUCUUGAUUUUUUUGUCCAUUUUAAUAAUUUUGUGGCUCAUAUUUGGCCAUUUCGCACCUCUUAAUUACCUUUUUUGUUCUACUUUGUUACUUUUGUUGUAUAUUUUGUUUAUUUUAUAUCCCAUUUUGAUCAUUUUGUGUUUAAUUUUGGCCAUGUUGUUUCUCAGUUUGAUCCUUUUCUAUCUUUCCAUGUUGUUUUUAGUUCCAUUUUGGUCAUUUUGCAUGUGUUCAUGGAUUCUAAUUUUCCAUGUUGGACAUUUUACCCACUUCAGUCAUUUUAUAUGGUUUUAUGUGAUUGUUCUUGUCCCAUAUGGGUGAUUUUGUGCCUCCCUGUGUCUCCACACUUGUGGAAACAAAUCUCACAAACAAAUCAAGCACUUGUCCUGUAACUUUGUCCUGUGAGAGACCAUCAGCGACCCUUUAGAGGGCUGCAGUCAGCGAGGAGAGAAGAGGAAAGCUGCUGAUGCUGCUGAAGCUCCAACUAAAAAGAGGAGUCUUCAACUGGUGGAGGACAGAGUAGAGCUGUCAGAAGAGGAACAAAGAGCCCAAUUCGACAGCAAAUACGAGCAGCAGCAUCAGCUCAGAGAAGGAGGUUGUGGGUCCGUGUUCGCCGGCCGCCGCAAAUCAGACAGUUUGCUGGACUUUGUCACUUGGAUUUUGAAAACUGCCCCAUUCAUAAAUGAAGAGAAUUAUUCUUGUAUUGUUCUGGGAGUUGGUGAUGCUGGGAUACUGAAGGAGACUGAUGUGGACGUCAGGAGGCUGAGCUCUGAUUCCAUUAAAAGGAUCAACUACAGAAGAACCCCGCAGAGUUUAGUUCCAAACAAAUGAUCUCCAGUCCAAGUUGAAGACAUAAAGUGUGAUCUGGAGGGAAGUUGUCAGUGUGAAUGUGUCGGUUCCCUAGUUAACUCACCUGGUUACGUCUCCAUCCUGAUGCUGCUCUGCUGGACAGGAGCUUCUGGACCAGCCGGGUGGACCUUCCUUCACUGAUCUUCCCAGUGGGAGUGAUUCUCAGUUUGCCUUGGUUGACUGCAAACUCCCUAAAAUGGACACUUGAGAGGAGAUUGUGGACAAAUCUAUACAACAGCUUGUUUAGUUUGUCCUGUUCUUAAAUCAGUAGAAAACUGUUGAGAGUGUUGCUCUAACUCCAUGUGUAUAAAAGCUCCUCCUACUGACCAAUCAGUUCUCUUGAAAACUGUCAUCAGCAUUAGAAGAUCCAGUGGAGCUCAGAGCACCGAUAGAGGGAGAGGAAGAUCGGAGUUUUUAGAGCUGCAAGCAAAGUCAUUUCAUUGUUCUACCUCCUUUGUAUUACAAUACGAUUUAUGAUUCUAGAUUGUUCCUGUGAGAAAUAUUUGAAGUUGUAUCCACUGACCUGUAGUGUUCCAUACCACAUGAGAGUCAGCUUACUUAUCGCUUUGAAUCAUAGUUUGAUGUCUUGCAGCCAGAAGAAUACAGCUGAGAACAUGUUCAUUAAACACAACAUCCAGUUGGAAUUAGAGUCUGAUCUACUUGUGAGGUGAUAAUUUGGUAGUAAUAUUGUUAAUCCUGUUAACUUUCACACAGUCUGCAGUUUUUGCAGCUUUCCCUCCUUCAGCUGCUGCAGCUGUGUUACUGUCAGUCUGUGUUUGGAGUUUAUAAUCUUUGUGUUUCUCUAAUAUCAUCGUUUGCUCUUCAUUUGUAAAACAGGACACUUUGGCUCCAGUAUUGUAACGGUCCUGAUGAUACUGGGACUAAAUAUGUCGUCUACAUGGAUCAUCUGCUUUUAAAAUGACGCAGCAGCAAACAUCACAAGAAAAAGUCACUCAGAGAGAAUCUUGAACUAAUUGAAUUUAAAACCAGCAGCAGCAUCUGUUGAAGCCUCAGAUUAAAACUUGAAGCUUUUAAAGUCUGGAAUCAUUAUUUGAUGUCAACUCCAACAUGAAGGAGUGCAGAGACAACACAGAAUAAACCUACUUUAGUUUGUAUUUGGUUGAAUAAAGCACCAGAAAUGACUCA